CAAAUAUAGCUUUUAAUAGCAUAAUUUCAUAGCGUUUUUAAAAAAAUGCUAUAAUAGGGAUGCAACAAUAGUGGUCCUUGCUUUGAAAGAGACGGGAAGAAGCGGAGGAUAAAAUUAUAGCGUUUCAUUAAAUCUGCCACAGCGUUCCACCCAAAAUCCAAGCGUCAAAUCUCUUUGCCCCAGAAUCGCUGGGCGCGCUUCUAAGAUCUCAAUCGCACUCCUUAUAUUUCAAUCGAUUCCACUGGUUCCCCACUCUUCUCUUUAAUGGAUUCAUCUCCAGUUGAGCUAGGGUUUCUAUUGCAAGUUCUUCUUCCACCCAAAGGUUUGUUCUUCUAUCUUUUCCAAAAUCUGUACAUACGCACUCCCUUCAUCCAGUUUAUUCAACUCCCUCUUUCCUGCUCAGAGAAGAAUCAAAAGCUAUUUUGUGAUUUGCUGCACCAGUUGAAGCGAAGAAUCAUUCUCUGGGGAAGCCCUCACCAGUUUGAAUGGAGAACAAUUGAACCACUUCAUAUCAGGAAGAGAGCAUGUUGAACCACGUCAAGAAAGGAGAGACGAGUAGUUCGGAAAAUCAUUAGAAGAUGUAGAAACUCCAUUAUAUUAAGGUUCACAAUCAGGCAACAAUGAAGAAACACCAGCUACACCCUUUGUUUGUCCCUUGGUUUCUAAUUGCCGAAAUAGAAACUACUUGGUGAAUUCUCUACACAAUGAGAAAUUACUGAAAUAAUGAGGAGGUAUAUUCUCUGAAGUUGUUACUGAAAUAAUGAGGAACCUGAUUUGGGCUUUUAGCUAGAUCUACAUAGGAACCAUGCCAAGAAUUCUUAAUUUGCUAAUCAACUGGAUUGGGGAGAAAGUAGGAAGAGCAAGCUUGUACAAAGUUGCAACUCCUCACUGUUUGACAAUCAUAGUCUAACAAUGCCAAGUUUGUGUAAUUGGUAGGAAGAGCAAGUUUCUUAAUUCGCUAACAACCUCAAUCCCUCCCCUGUCUCGCUCUUUGUACAUAUGCUUAGAUUUGUAUAAUUGGUGUGUGUAACCAAGUCUUAGUACUGUUCUUGAUUUCUGCACUCACUUUGAUGUCUUUUUGCGUAUAUAGAUGUAUAACCAAGUUCCUUCCCUCUUCCCCCCUAUCCAAGUCUUGUACUGAUCAAUUUGGGACAUUGGAUCAUAGAGCAUGUGUUGAGAAACAGACACUUAGAAUCUAGUUCUAGGGAGAUUCAUUAACACUCAUAAAGGUUUAUAAUUACGUACACAAUUGAAAAAAUCCACUAGGCUUUGGGACACAAAUAAGACUUAGGAGGGACACUUGUUAUUCUAUAUUUUGUCCUAUUUAAAGAUAUUUCAGUUACUUUUUCGCUGCUGCAAUAACACCAAAAGAAAUUGGUGCGAAAACUAUACUAGCCAUCAAUCAUGCGUGAGCCAAUUUUCUUAGCUCACACAGCCUUAGUUGUUGCUGAAGUGUGCUGAAAUUGUAAAAAGACA